ACAAAGGGCAGCAAGUUCGCGAGGACAAGCAAAUCCCAUAAACCGUGGCUCAGUUCAGAUCGUAGGCUGCAACUCGCCUACGUGAAGGCGGAAUCGCUAGUAAUCGCAGGUCAGCACACUGCGGUGAAUACGUUCCCGGGCCUUGUACACACCGCCCGUCACACCAUGGAAGUUGGCCACGCCCGAAGCCGUUACUCCAACCCUUGUGGAGGAGGACGUCGAAGGUGGGGCUGAUGACUGGGGUGAAGUCGUAACAAGGUAUCCGUACCGGAAGGUGCGGAUGGAUCACCUCCUAAC
rnacentral:rRNA from 1 species